CCUACGGGUGGCAGCAGUGAGGAAUAUUGGUCAAUGGGCGGAAGCCUGAACCAGCCAAGUCGCGUGAGGGAAUAAGGCCCUACGGGUCGUAAACCUCUUUUGCCGGGGAGCAAGGGCCGGGACGCAUCCCGUCCCGGAGAGUACCCGGAGAAAAAGCAUCGGCUAAGUCCGUGCCAGCAGCCGCGGUAAUACGGAGGAUGGGAGCGUUAUCCGGAUUUAUUGGGUUUAAAGGGUGCGUAGGCGGGCGUUUAAGUCAGCGGUAAAAAUUCGGGGCUCAACCCCGUCCGGCCGUUGAAACUGGGGGCCUUGAGUGGGCGAGAGGAAGGCGGAAUGCGUGGUGUAGCGGUGAAAUGCAUAGAGAUCACGCAGAACCCCGAUUGCGAAGGCAGCCUUCCGGCGCCCUACUGACGCUGAGGCACGAAAGUGCGGGGAUCGAACAGGAUUAGAUACCCUUGUAGUC
rnacentral:rRNA from 1 species